GUGGGGAAUAUUGGACAAUGGGCGAAAGCCUGAUCCAGCCAUGCCGCGUGUGUGAAGAAGGUCUUCGGAUUGUAAAGCACUUUAAGUUGGGAGGAAGGGCAGUAAGUUAAUACCUUGCUGUUUUGACGUUACCGACAGAAUAAGCACCGGCUAACUUCGUGCCAGCAGCCGCGGUAAUACGAAGGGUGCAAGCGUUAAUCGGAAUUACUGGGCGUAAAGCGCGCGUAGGUGGUUCAGCAAGUUGGAGGUGAAAUCCCCGGGCUCAAACUGGGAACUGCCUCCAAAACUACUGGGCUAGAGUACGGUAGAGGGUAGUGGAAUUUCCUGUGUAGCGGUGAAAUGCGUAGAUAUAGGAAGGAACACCAGUGGCGAAGGCGACUACCUGGACUGAUACUGACACUGAGGUGCGAAAGCGUGGGGAGCAAACAGGAUUAGAUACCCGAGUAGUCC
rnacentral:rRNA from 1 species